rnacentral:rRNA from 1 species
UACGUAGGGUGCGAGCGUUAAUCGGAAUUACUGGGCGUAAAGCGUGCGCAGGCGGUUUGUUAAGACCGAUGUGAAAUCCCCGGGCUCAACCUGGGAACUGCAUUGGUGACUGGCAAGCUAGAGUAUGGCAGAGGGGGGUAGAAUUCCACGUGUAGCAGUGAAAUGCGUAGAGAUGUGGAGGAAUACCGAUGGCGAAGGCAGCCCCCUGGGCCAAUACUGACGCUCAUGCACGAAAGCGUGGGGAGCAAACCGG